GGAAAAUUAUAAAACGGUUUUCUAAUUUAUUUACUAGACACAUUUUUCUUUCGGAAAAAAUGAGUAAAUAGCAGUCGGACCAAUAUUUAAAGUAGAAUGAUUGUUAACAGACAAGGGAAAUAACCACAUCCUAUAGUUGAACCAAUACUUUACUCAUUACACUCAGUGUCUAAAAAAAAAAAAGAAAACAUUUGGAAUACAAUAAUUUUGUUCGUAUAAUGAUGAUG